rnacentral:rRNA from 1 species
GACGAACGCUGGCGGCGUGCCUAAUACAUGCAAGUUGAGCGCUGAAGGUUGGUACUUGUACCAACUGGAUGAGCAGCGAACGGGUGAGUAACGCGUGGGGAAUCUGCCUUUGAGCGGGGGACAACAUUUGGAAACGAAUGCUAAUACCGCAUAAAAACUUUAAACACAAGUUUUAAGUUUGAAAGAUGCAAUUACAUCACUCAAAGAUGAUCCCGCGUUGUAUUAGCUAGUUGGUGAGGUAAAGGCUCACCAAGGCGAUGAUACAUAGCCGACCUGAGAGGGGGAUCGGCCACAUUGGGACUGAGACACGGCCCAAACUCCUACGGGAGGCAGCAGUAGGGAAUCUUCGGCAAUGGACGAAAGUCUGACCGAGCAACGCCGCGUGAGUGAAGAAGGUUUUCGGAUCGUAAAACUCUGUUGGUAGAGAAGAACGUUGGUGAGAGUGGAAAGCUCAUCAAGUGACGGUAACUACCCAGAAAGGGACGGCUAACUACGUG